rnacentral:miRNA from 1 species
GUGGUUAGCGCGCCUGCCUGUAACCCAGAGGUAAGGUUCAAGGCUCGUCGCUGCUAC